rnacentral:rRNA from 1 species
CCUACGGGAGGCAGCAGUGGGGAAUAUUGCACAAUGGGCGCAAGCCUGAUGCAGCCAUGCCGCGUGUGUGAAGAAGGCCUUCGGGUUGUAAAGCACUUUCAGCGGGGAGGAAGGCGUUAAGGUUAAUAACCUUGGCGAUUGACGUUACCCACAGAAGAAGCACCGGCUAACUCCGUGCCAGCAGCCGCGGUAAUACGGAGGGUGCAAGCGUUAAUCGGAAUUACUGGGCGUAAAGCGCACGCAGGCGGUCUGUCAAGUCGGAUGUGAACUCCCCGGGCUCAACCUGGGAACUGCAUUCGAAACUGGCAGGCUAGAGUCUUGUAGAGGGGGGUAGAAUUCCAGGUGUAGCGGUGAAAUGCGUAGAGAUCUGGAGGAAUACCGGUGGCGAAGGCGGCCCCCUGGACAAAGACUGACGCUCAGGUGCGAAAGCGUGGGGAGCAAACAGGAUUAGAUACCCUAGUAGUC